UUUACUAUCCGAUGAUUUUGUUGCCGCGAAUAGGAAGUGAUCGUCGCCGUCGUAGAAUUCAGAUCCGGAGAUUUUCUUACUUGUUGAUCUCACCGAUCUGCUAUAGAUGUGACAUACCGGUGAUCGCAUGCGGUGAAACAGAGUCUGUCAUCUCCUCCAUUCAUAUAUGUAGUGUAGAAAGCCAUUGAAGCUUCCUUCUGAAUAGGACAUUGGAUGUUGCUCGUCUACAAGCUCCAUUGCUGGUCCAACUUUCUUAUUCAGACCCAAGCUGUGGAGACUGGCAAUUGAGAUUCGCCUCUUUUCCAUGUUAACUGUUGCUCUGUGAAUUGUGCUCUUAUAGUGGCCAUUGCUUAUGACUUCCAUCUGGUCUCCUAGCUGGAUUAUUAAAGAACCUGGAAGAACUGGAACAUGAUGCCACUUCUUAUCUUGGUCCAUGAUUUCCAGGCCCUCCCUGCUUUGGAGUAAGAUUGUUAGAGAACCAUAGUCUGAAUGUGGUGGCAUGCCUAGCACAAGAUCUGGUUCAGGGCAUGCUGGAUAGCAAUUGACAGCCAAGACUUGCGCACCCGCUUCAAUGUCCUCAUGCCAUUGAUUGAUCCAAGUUUGAAGUGGGUGAGAGUAAUGCUUGAUGAAGUCUCUCCAGAAAUAAACUUUGUCCUUGACAUGGUUCAUGCUUGUACCAUACCUCACAGGGUUGUGCACGUUACUGGAUUCAAGGUGCAUCUUCUCCUCAAUAGGCAUAUCAAAGAAAUCUGUUGCAGCUUCUAUGGCCUCAGUUAUCACAGAAGGAGGUAUUCCAUGUCCGACGACCUAUAAACAGAGAGGUUGCCAUGUAAAUGAUCAUGCUAUUUGAAUUUUGCAUGCAUGAAAUUAUUUAAUUAUUACGAGGUAGAAUUGCAAAUAUGUUGUCAUUGUAAAAUUUUCAAAUUCAUUCAUUUUUCUAGUUACCAUUCAUGAACAUAUCACCUUCAAUAUUUUCACAAGUGUCAACAAAGAUUAACAAUACCUGAAAAAAACCAAGCUGCUUGCAGGCAGUGCGAACUUUGUCUAUCACCAAGGGCCUUAGUGAAGGUUGAUGUAGACAGGAAAGAUCUAUUAUGGGAAGUCUGAGGGGAGUUUCAGAACUUGUAUGAUUUGGACGAUGAGAAAGGGGAAGAACAUAAUGCCCAGGAAAGAAUAAUAUAUGUUUCUCCCAUGCAUAUUGGUAGUAAAAGCUGGGGAAGAUAAGUGGGACCUUGUGCCUCAAAAUGGGAAAUUAAAAUACAGUGACUAUGAAUCUGAAACUAAGGUGACCACCUUCAGAGGUUCUACACCCAAUGAGGUCAAGUUUCCCCCCCUCUCCCUCUCUCUUUCUCUCCUUGUAUUGAAAGUUCAAGUUUAAUAAGUGAGAGAGGACAGAAUUGUUUACUUGCUGCUGGCACCGAAAUCUUAACUAACUUAUGUAAGGUUUAUUGGAAUUUAUUGGCAGAAAAGACAAGGAUUGGGCCCAGUCACCUCCAUAUAUGUAUUAGUACUUACUACCCAGGUAUAUUUUAAGUUUCUUUUAUCUAAAUAUCUCAAAAUGUUAAAAGUUUGAACUAACAGAGUUGUCGUAAAAAAAUAUUCAAAAAAAAUACAAACCAACAAUGUCUAUAGUCUAUACCAAGUUUUGAAAACGGACUUGACUUAAUGUUGAUCACUGAAAAACUCAUUAGUUUACUUGUCCAAGUUCACCAAUACUGAGGUUAGCAAUUAAGAUCCGUUAGACUGUUAUAUCAUGAUUCAUGACCAUGGACUAAGGAUAGCUAGAGAGCUGUUUAAUAUGACCUUGUCAAGAUGUUUAUCCUGGAUUAAUUUGGGGAAAGUUUUGUUGUUUUGAUCAAGACAGUUUGACACCCAUGACCUGUAUGGGACAGACUUAUUUCCUUUAAAAUUUUAUUAGGGGUGGGGAUUAUAAGUUCCUUACAGGUCAAAUCUAGGGCGGCAAAUGAGUCAGGCGGCAAAUGAGUCAAGCUAACUUGAGCUCGAGCUCGUCCCAAUUCAGUUUCUAUUAGCUCAGUUCGAAUGAGUUUUUAAAUUUAAGCUCGAACUCGACUCAAUUAUUUACCUACAAGUUCGAGCUCGACUCGAAAAACUUGAAUUAAAAUUAAGUUUUUAAGCUGAAGCUCAAGUUCUAACUCGAGCCAAAAUUAAACAUUCCUUGUUUGCGCUCUCUCUCACUCAAUAAGGGGGUUGUAGAGGGGAUUAGAUGAACAUGGAGUAUGCAGCUGCAAAGGAUAUUAGAUGGAGGUAUAGGGGAUGGUUUUAGAAUAGGGCCAUUAGACUUGGAUGAUGCAACAGGACAGUACGAUGAGUAUUACUGUCUACAAUCCACAUCGAUGUUGAUUCGACUUUAGAGAGGUGAGUUGAAAUUUGAAAAGAGGUUUGUUUUAUGUUUUAAUAUUAAAAAUAACAUAUUAUAUAUUGGCUCGAAACUUAAAAAUAACAUAUUAUAUAUUGACAAGUCAUCGAGCAAGUAUUGUAUGAACUUGAACUCGGCUCAAAUAUUAAACGAGCCGGUUUGAACUCGGGUCGAAUUCGGUCAAAAUCAAGCUCGCGUUUCCGACCCUUAAAGGUAUGCGGCAAUGACCGAGCAGCUCUCAUUAACCGCACUAGUAAAAUCUACUUCUCCUUCCAACCAAAAUAAACAAAAUGAAAUUGGAUAGUCAUCUUUUUUUUCUUUUCUUUUUUUUUUGCAUUUAUAGCCAUUAAUUUUUAGAAUUCGUAAGAGACAUAUUUAAGACAUUUUAAUUUAAGAAUCAAUCUUUGAAUUGAGUAUAAGUUAAAAAAAAAACAAGAAAUAUCUCAAUUUAAUAUCAUUUUUCAUACCCCAGUAACUCUUAUGAUUUAAUAAAGUUGUAUGUAUACGAAGCACAUUGCUUUGCUCUACAAUUCUAAUAUAAGAUAAUCUAUAUAUAUAUAAUGAUGCUUAAUUUUUAAAGUGUCCGGAUUGCCGGGU